UACAGAGGGUGCAAGCGUUGUUCGGAAUCAUUGGGCGUAAAGCGCACGUAGGCGGCUUACCAAGUCAGGUGUGAAAGCCUGGGGCUCAACCCCAGAAGUGCAUUUGAAACUGGUAGGCUUGAAUCUUGGAGAGGGCAGUGGAAUUCCGAGUGUAGAGGUGAAAUUCGUAGAUAUUCGGAGGAACACCAGUGGCGAAGGCGACUGCCUGGACAAAGAUUGACGCUGAGGUGCGAAAGCGUGGGGAGCAAACAGG
rnacentral:rRNA from 1 species